rnacentral:rRNA from 1 species
UACAGAGGGUGCGAGCGCUAAUCGGAAUUACUGGGCGUAAAGCGUGCGUAGACGGUAGCGUAAGUCAGAUGUGAAAGCCCCGGGCUCAACCUGGGAAUUGCAUUUGAGACUGCUCUGCUCGGGUGCGGAAGAGGGAAGCGGAAUUUCCGGUGUAGCGGUGAAAUGCGUAGAUAUCGGAAGGAACACCAGUGGCGAAAGCGGCUCACUGGACCAUACUGACGCUGAUGCACGAAAGCUGGGGGAGCAAACAGG